UGGGGAAUAUUGGGCAAUGGGGGAAACCCUGACCCAGCGACGCCGCGUGAGGGAAGACGGUUUUCGGAUUGUAAACCUCUGUCUUAGGGGAAGAGAACGGACGGUACCCUAGGAGGAAGCCACGGCUAACUACGUGCCAGCAGCCGCGGUAAUACGUAGGUGGCAAGCGUUGUCCGGAAUUACUGGGUGUAAAGGGAGCGUAGGCGGGGAGGAAAGUCAGGUGUGAAAUAUCAAAGCUCAACUUUGAGACUGCACUUGAAACUUCUUCUCUUGAGUGAAGUAGAGGCAAGCGGAAUUCCGUGUGUAGCGGUGAAAUGCGCAGAUAUACGGAGGAACACCAGUGGCGAAGGCGGCUUGCUGGGCUUUUACUGACGCUGAGGCUCGAAAGCGUGGGUAGCAAACA
rnacentral:rRNA from 1 species